rnacentral:rRNA from 1 species
AUACGAAGGUGGCAAGCGUUAUCCGGAAUAAUUGGGCGUAAAGCGUCCGCAGAUUGUUUGAUAAGUCUUUUGUUAAAUCCUGAAGCUCAACUUCGGGGCCGCGAGAGAAACUAUCUUACUAGAGGCUGGAAGAGGCAAGCAGAAUUACCGGUGUAGGGGUAAAAUCCGUUAAUAUCGGUAAGAAUACCAAAUGCGAAGGCAGCUUGCUGGUACAGUCCUGACAUUCAUGGACGAAAGCGUGGGUAGCGAAUGGGAUUAGAAACCCCAGUAGUCC